UACGUAGGUGGCAAGCGUUGUCCGGAUUUAUUGGGCGUAAAGAGCGUGUAGGCGGCUUGUUAAGUCUUGCGUGAAAUCUCGGGGCUCAACCCCGAGCGGUCGUGAGAAACUGGCAGGCUAGAGUGCGGGAGAGGAGAGUGGAAUUCCUGGUGUAGCGGUGAAAUGCGCAGAUAUCAGGAAGAACACCCGUGGCGAAGGCGGCUCUCUGGAACGCAACUGACGCUGAGACGCGAAAGCGUGGGGAGCAAACAGG
rnacentral:rRNA from 1 species